rnacentral:rRNA from 1 species
AUUGAACGCUGGCGGAAUGCUUUACACAUGCAAGUCGAACGGCAGCAUAGGUGCUUGCACCUGAUGGCGAGUGGCGAACGGGUGAGUAAUACAUCGGAACGUGCCCAGUCGUGGGGGAUAACGUAGCGAAAGUUACGCUAAUACCGCAUACGAUCUAAGGAUGAAAGCGGGGGACCGUAAGGCCUCGCGCGAUUGGAGCGGCCGAUGUCAGAUUAGGUAGUUGGUGAGGUAAAGGCUCACCGAGCCGACGAUCUGUAGCUGGUCUGAGAGGACGACCAGCCACACUGGGACUGAGACACGGCCCAGACUCCUAAGGGAGGCAGCAGUGGGGAAUUUUGGACAAUGGACGCAAGUCUGAUCCAGCCAUUCCGCGUGCAGGACGAAGGCCUUCGGGUUGUAAACUGCUUUUGUACGGAACGAAAAGGCUCUUACUAAUACUAGGAGUCCAUGACGGUACCGUAAGAAUAAGCACCGGCUAACUACGUGCCAGCCGCCGCCGUAA